GCGAAAGGAACAUGUCGUGAAACGGCGGUACGUAGGGAACCAGCUGAUUCAACUUCUUGAUAUUUCCCGACAUCAUUGCAGUUUAUGAAUGCAUUUAUGACUAUUAUUGAUAUGUUUUUACGUUUGUGACUCAACUGUUCGACGAAUAAUGUAGUUGGGUAUUUCAAUUGAAUACGUGAAUUUACGUGGAACUAAUACAGACUUCAGUGUCACUUUACCGAUAGGAACUGUUUGCCUCAUGGUAACAGGUUUUGUGCAAACAAAGCCUCCACAAUUGGUUGGACAACAUUUGCCAAUUCCUAAGCACUGUGAGUCAGAGAAACAAGAUUGACUACAAAUCUGCACUGGCAAAGGUGGUGGACAGGAACCUGGUUUCUCAGCGAAAGUAACUCGUCCUGAGGCCCAGACGGUUCCCUCGACUUUGUGCUGCUGGAAUUGGAGGUGGUUCUACCAUAAGAGAAGGAGGAUUGACUAUUUUCUUCUCGAGCAGGUAUGGGAUGAGAAUCUGAACGACUCUGGGUGGGCGUCGCUGUUCGAGAUGGCUGCUGGCUCACUGCGUUUGACGUUGGUGUUUUUGGUCCUUAAAGAAUUAAAUUUGGAAACAUCAAUUUUUCGACAGUGCUUGGAAAUGUCUCAGAGUUACCUACCAGCUGGAUGCAUUUUCAUAUAACCUUGAAGAGGGAGUUCAAAGCCGUUCGAGGAGGUCAUCACAGGCGUUGGUGUUGAUGGACUGGCGAUGACGGGAGUCGGUGCUGCCACGAAGCUGAUGCGCCAAUCUCGUAUGUCCUGCCUGCUCUGCAAGAUCCGCAGGGGUCAGUUCCGACACGUUCCUCAGGUCGCAUGCUAUAUCACCGCCUGGACACUCCAACAGUUGCCAAGCUAAUCUCUCCAGG